GAAGCAAGGAGCAAAGCAAGAGAAACAGUCAUAUGUUUUAAUAGAGUGCAGAAGACAACAGUUGACUCAAUAACACCAUCCUGAUACACCAUUCAGUAUGUGGUCAACUGGAGGAAUUUUGAUUUAAAGCCUACCAAGUGAUUUCAAAUGUUAGGGUCACAAUUCUACAGGUUCAUGAAGGCCAAAAACAACAGCUUGAGAUGAAGGUAUUUCCCCACUAUUUCUUGCAGUGAAGCAGCAGCUUUUGCUAAGAAUUGCCAUGAGUUUUCCGUAGCUGCUAGAUGCAUUGGCAAGCUCUGCCGACAGCCUCGGGGAAAACGCUCAGCUUCCCAGCCGCAGCUUUUGUUCCAGUAACUACCCCCGGAGACCACAUUCUGACCUUUAGAAAGGUCCCACAGACACACUGCAGGACAACAGCACUCUGCCCAGCUCAGCCAUCCUCCAACACCGAUGGACUGCACAUGGCACACAAUCAGUGCUUCCCUCUGGCUGUGCAAUGCAUUUGGUUGUCCUAGUCAGCUAUUGCUCCACAGCUCUUCUCUGGAUACAAGAGGACUGGUGUUUUACACAGUAGCCCCAAGAAGACUGACGCUACUGGAAGAGAGCUGCAGCACAGGCAGGCACUGUAGAUGUUUACUGCUUACAGCCUGGCUGACCUUUGGGGGCCCUGCACCCAUUGGUAUUCAGGCAAACUGAACUGUUUGAGUUUUAUUAUGGCUUUGCACUGCUAAUAAGAACACCUUGAUAGGCAACACCCCAUCCCUCAGAAGCUCAGAAGGGAUCAAAUACUUUGAAACAAAGAAGAGACACAAUACAAUUUAAAAAUAAUUAUUUUUCUUCUAACACAAACAUUACAGUCAUACUUUCCGCAGCCUGACUGAUAUAGCUGGAUAAGUACUUAGUUCAGACAGUACUGAGCAUGAUAAAAGAGUCCAUAUUAGAGAAGAACAUUACCAAAUAAAAAACUGAAGUUGCACUAUUUACCA
rnacentral:lncRNA from 1 species